UAGGGGUAAAAUAGUGAGUAGCCGACUUGAGAAAGUGAUGAACCAUUGGGAUAAGAUUAAAUUUACUUUUUUUUACCCCCAAAUUUUUUUUACCGUGGGUAAAAAGAAUCUUCUUAGGGUAUAAAAAGAACCAGAUUUAAAUUUAGCCCAAAGGUUAAUGAUAUAUUUUCCCCAAGAAAGCUGCUCACUAUUUUACCCCAA
rnacentral:pre_miRNA from 1 species